AAAAAAUCUCAAGAUCCAACAGACCAAUCAUUAUUUUGAAAUCCAGAUGGCCUCAAUCAUAAAGCACACCUUAAAUCUACUGCAGCAGAACACGAAUCCUCAUAGUUGUUUUUCCUCAAGAUAAAAAACAAGUGUUGAAACCAGGUUGAGUCAUUACAAGAUCCCAUACUGAACAAGAAAAUCCUUUCCUUUUUCUUUGUUAAUUUGACAAAUGACAUCAAGCAGCGUGGUUGCAGUCCAAAGAUGCAAGAUGGAUAGAAGCCUGUCAAACACAGAUUGAAAAAUGUAAUAAGCCAAAGCAAGUAUUAUGUCUAACAAAUGCUCUGCAAUGGAAUCCCUGGCAGAAAAAUGAUCAUUCAAAUGUCCUCACUCCAAGAUAACUCUUGUGUUUGAAAUCAGUCAAGGGUGUGGAAAUCCUUCAUGAACCACUCAAUGAAAUGAUGCCAAGCAUUGUUUCAAAAAAUAUUGUAGUCCAAGAAAUCCUCAUACACUUUUAGAACUUUAGGCCACACUUUUCUGAUCUUAGGGAGAAAUAAUUUUGAAUAAUGUGAAUCUUAUUUUCUUAUUUGUUGAUAAAAAACAAUUUACUUUACAUUCAUAAGAAGAGAUAUCAUGGAAACAAAACACGUUAAUCUGCAAAAUUAUUUACUUUUUUGCAAUGGUUAGUUACUUCUAAGUAAAAUUUGAAAUACUAUUGGCUAGAUUACGAGUUGUGCAUUAAGGUAAAAAGCAGCGUUAAGAGGUCCUAACACUGCUUUUUUAUGCCCACUGGUAUAACGAGUCUUGAAGGUUUAGGAUCACCGCACACUUCUUUGGCCUUACCGCAAAACGACUUACGUAAACUUUGUAAAGUCUUUUUUCUAUGGGACUUCCAUAGUGCUGAUAUUACGAGUCUGUCCUGGGAGACCAAAAAGUGAGCGGUACACCCUACCUCGUCAAGAGUCCUAAUGCAUUUAAAAGUCAGUAGUUAUGAGUUUUAUGGUACAACGCCGUAACAUAAAACGCAUAAGUAAAGUGCUAAAAAAUACACUAACACCCAUAAACUACCUAUUAACCCCUAAACCGAGGCCCUCCCGCAUCGCAAACACUACAGGGAGUGCAGAAUUAUUAGGCAAGUUGUAUUUUUGAGGAUUAAUUUUAUUAUUGAACAACAACCAUGUU